UUCCCUUUGUCAUCCUAUGCCUGGAGAUCAAAGUGAGGCAAGGAGAACAAAGGGAUGU
rnacentral:pre_miRNA from 1 species